AUAACCCAAAAGAAAAAGACCCACUUAUUUCUCUUUCUGUGAAACCAAAGAGAAACCUAACCCUAAAUCUAUCCACCAUCACCAUCCCUCAUCGCCGAACACUUCUCCUCCGGUAAAGGGUGCUAUCGCCGCUGGCGGACAAACCGUUGGUGUCGUCGCAUUCCUCGAUCUCAUUGCUGAACUCUUUUCAGUUCUCAUCUUUCCUCUUCUCGUCGUCGUCGCACGAAUGAAGCAUUGACUUCGUGGCAUCGCCGUCGCGAAGGUUGCUCGGUCGAUCAUCGUGUCUCUGAGCUCUCUCUCCUCCCGAGGUUAACAUGCCUCUUCGAGUGCUCUAUCACUCUCUGUCCGAGCUCAUUCCCCUUCCUCCGUUGCCGUCACUUUCGAUUCCUCCGUCGCUGUUAGUUAUCUUCCUCCUUCGCCGCUGGCAAUUUGCUCAACGUUCACGAGUCUGUAAACUUCAAUACAUAGCUGAAUUAGAAAGAAAUGUACAAGGUUUACAGGCAGAAGGAUCUGAAGUAUCUGCCAAGCUUGAAUUUCUUAACCAAGAGAAUCUCAUCCUGAGUAUGGAGAACAAAUCUCUCAAGCAACGGUUAGAAAGUUUAGCAUAAGAGCAGCUUAUCAAAUAUUGUAAGUUUCUACCAUUGAACAUAAGCUAAUAGGUCUUAUUGUAAGUUGGAAUUUGGAAGUCAUUUGUUUAUUGGUGUACCAAUCUAAAUACCUGCAUUUUGAGGGAGUGCUUAUAUAUUCACUCAUAUACAACUAAGGAAAUUCUUGGAAUGUUAUGCUGCAUUUUGAUUAUCUAUUUUAUGCUGCAUCUUUAUUCAACCGGUGUUGCAUCGCAUGUCACCAAAUUGCACUCUCUCACUCUGCAGGAUUGUGCAGAGAUUUCCAGUGUAUGCCCUUCUCUUUAUCUAGUUACUUGUUGACAUGGAAGCACAAAGUGAACUCCUGAAUAAUUCGAUUUUGCUUUGUCUUUUUGGAUUUUAUGAGUUUGGUUUUUGGAUCCUGUGUUUGGAAUAUGCAUAAACUUACCAUGCACUUUUCUGUUCUCAAAGGCAUAGGUCUUAUUAUUGAAGUUUUGAUAAAGGAAAAAGAAAAUGGCUUCAAGAUUAGGUAGUGAUGAUGAUGCUGAUAAUAACAAAGGUAGCAUGUGUACUUUGGAGCAAAAGCUGAAUCAGCUAAUGGAUGAAGAAGCUGCAAGGCUAAAAAAUAUGUACAGAGAAAAAACGGAAGAUAUUGAAGGUGGAACUCAUAAGCCAAAGUUUCAAACCGAUCUUACUCUACCAAUAUAUCUAAAGGGAACGAUUAUUGAAGCUUCAUUAUAUCAAUCAUUGAUCAACGCCACCAAUAAGCUAGCAAUAUAAGCAUGAUCAGUUCAGUGAUGUGACAUAUAAGGUAGUGAUGAAAGGAAUGACAACAAGUGAGGAGAAUGAUAUACUGAAAAGGUAUAACUGGUUGUGUGAGUCUAGGGGAAGUUUUGGCAUUGAUGGGACCCUCAGGAAGUGGAAAAACAUCACUGCUGAAUCUUUUUGGAGGAAGAAUAACUCAUCACCAUAAUGUUGGUGGAUCUAUCACCUACAAUGACCAGCCUUAGAAAUUUUUGGUAUCCUUUGAGUAGUUGCUGAGUCAAUUAUGUUUGCAAGAGCUAUUCUGCAUUGAAUUUAUGUGAACAAACUUCAUUGAAUUGUGAUGGUUUAUGGAGAACCAUUUUUUUAUGCUUGCAAUCGAUAUGAGGCAAAAAAACAAGAGGGAGUGUAUGAUGAAACUGAAAGAAGAGAAAUGGCAAAGAAUUCAUUGGAGAGGUACACGCAUUAUUAUGAGCGAUGGGCCAGCAAUCAAUCCUCGAGGCAAAAAGCUCUUGCAGAUCUACACCAGAUGCAAACUGUUCAUGUAUGUUACAUAACAUUUGCUAUAUUUUGCAUUAGCUUGUAUCUACCUUUUGCAACUCUUUCAGAAAGAAUGGUAUAUAAGAUUGCACAUGUUUCUUUUUAGUAGUACAUGUUGCUGCUUUUGUAGUUCA